AACGCUAGCUACAGGCUUAACACAUGCAAGUCGAGGGGAAACGACAUCGAAAGCUUGCUUUUGAUGGGCGUCGACCGGCGCACGGGUGAGUAACGCGUAUCCAACCUGCCCACCACUUGGGGACAACCUUGCGAAAGUAAGACUAAUACCCAAUGAUAUCUCUAGAAGACAUCUGAAAGAGAUUAAAGAUUUAUCGGUGAUGGAUGGGGAUGCGUCUGAUUAGCUUGUUGGCGGGGUAACGGCCCACCAAGGCGACGAUCAGUAGGGGUUCUGAGAGGAAGGUCCCCCACAUUGGAACUGAGACACGGUCCAAACUCCUACGGGAGGCAGCAGUGAGGAAUAUUGGUCAAUGGGCGAGAGCCUGAACCAGCCAAGUAGCGUGCAGGAUGACGGCCCUAUGGGUUGUAAACUGCUUUUAUAAGGGAAUAAAGUGGGUCUCGUGAGACUUUUUGCAUGUACCUUAUGAAUAAGGACCGGCUAAUUCCGUGCCAGCAGCCGCGGUAAUACGGAAGGUCCGGGCGUUAUCCGGAUUUAUUGGGUUUAAAGGGAGCGUAGGCCGGAGAUUAAGCGUGUUGUGAAAUGUAGACGCUCAACGUCUGCACUGCAGCGCGAACUGGUUUCCUUGAGUACGCACAAAGUGGGCGGAAUUCGCGGUGUAGCGGUGAAAUGCUUAGAUAUCACGAAGAACUCCGAUUG
rnacentral:rRNA from 1 species